rnacentral:lncRNA from 1 species
UGGGCUUCAAAAUUUGAAUUCUCUUUGGGUUCCCGCUGCUGGCGGUGCCACCGCCCAGCGCUCGGGUGCUAGACGGUGCAACCGCCUAGCCAAGGAGGUGUCACCGCCCAGCUCUCGGGUGCUGGGCGGUGCCACCGCCUGGCUCUUAUCAGCUCACUAGUUGGGCUCCAAACUUGGCCCAAACCAGUCCGAACUCGGGCCCAAUUGGCCCCUACUUGGGUUAUAGGAUUAACACCUAAUCCUAACCCUAAUUAACAUGCUAACUACGAAUUUAAAGAUAAUUUCUAAGCUAUUACAAAGUCUGCAAGUCAAGACUUCUUUCGACGAGCUUCCGGCGAACUUCCGGCGGUCUUCCGACAAACUCUCGGAAACCAUUCUGCGGACUCCCGGCAAGCUCGCAGACUUCACGAUUUGAUCUCGGCGAGUUCCAACGAGCUUCUUUGGCAAGCUCCGAUCUUUCUCGGUGAGCUCCGUGAACUUCCGACGAACCUUUUGGCGAGCUUCCGAAAAACCCUUCGGCAAGCUCCCUACUCAUUCUCGGCUAGUUCCGGCAGCAUUCCCGACGAGCCUUCGGACUUCCAUCGAACUCUCGAACUCCCAACGAAUCCUUCGUGCUUGACUCCGGCACUUUGUUUCGCUUUAUGUCUUCAUCGUUAUCGUAGUUAAUCCUGCACACACAAGCCAAAACU